CCACGAGAAAUACAUACCUCUCGCCAAAACGUACUCCUACAUCUACACUUGUUGUAAGCCGAUCGACGAAACACAUGCGCUCACGAAACGUACACUUUUUAAAAAUCAAACAAUUCAAAAUUUUUAUGACAUUUCUAUAAAAGAUAUAAAUAUUAUUAGAUUAAUUAUUUAUAUAUUUUUAUACUAUAAAUUGUCACACCCAAUUUCAAGGAAGAAAUUGAAUGCAUAAACUUAUGUGCGCCCAGAGAUCAAUCACACACAUAAGUCACAAAUUAAAUACCAUCAUCGCAGUGUUUACAACAAACGUAGUUAUUACAUCACAAAGUCUGGUAUAACAGCGGAAAUAUAAAUAUGAUAAUCUAAGAUAACUAUCUCAAGGCCCUCACACAGGGAAGGUCGACUGGUGAAGCACAAGCCAAAUAGUGCUCAGGGUAGUCCUCAUAGCCACCACCAUCUGUUACCCAUCCGGAAUUUUUAUCCAAAGAAAAGAAAUAUACAAGCGUGAGUACAUCUCGUACUCCACAAGCAUGGCAUGAGGAUUUAUGAGGCUCAAACAGGCUAAACUAGGUUCACUGCAUCAGCUUUUAGUAGGUCAGUGUUUUAUCAUUAAUUAUUAUAGUUUAUGCUUAAGCUCCCAAAUAUCCCAUAUGAUCAGUUAUUAGAACCAUAGAAAGUCAUUAAGUCACAUUAAAGCAUAAUUAUACAUCAUCAAGUACCAUAUAGCCAUCAGUAACCAGUUAUUCUGUGAGUUUUCCGGACCGCUCGUGACCGUGAGCACGGCUGUUAUAACAGUUUCACACUCUGCAGAGGUUGUGCACUUUCACCGUGAGUCGUGUUGCCCAUACGCCCGGGGUCCGUCGACCCCCAAACACUACCAAGGUGAGCGGGCAGGGUACACUAUGAAGCCUUCCAUAGGCCUAUUCUAACCAGUUAGGGCCGCGAGGUUUCCUCGGCAGGCAGAUGUAGAAAACCCCCCUUUCCUAUGGCACAUUUCCAUCGCGGCUAUACUCAUAGAAACAGGGGCAGCCGUACACCCAAAGUGGCAAGCGCCUCUUGCGCCCUUUCGGGUAACCUCUAACGAGUUAGAAAAGGUCCUAUUACUGAGCUAAAGUCAGAGCCAUAUGACUCUCCCGGUUGCACUGUAAGUCCCAGCUUUUGCCGACAGAUAAGUCCUUACGGAGGGUCUAGGACAACCUGACCAACAGUCAUUUGUACCAUAGCCCUAUGUUGCAUUUAUCAUAAUCAUGUUUAAUCAAUUAACCAUAGUUCCAUUACUGAUUUCAGAUUAUAUAUAAUUGGAGUUAGAGCACUAGCACUUCUACCCAUAUGCAAUAAAAACCCUUAGGAACAAGGUAAUUGUCAUCAACAGCUAGGAUGUCCUUAUAGUUUGCAAUAUUAUACACAUGCAGGGUGAAAUGCUUAAAAAUGAGUAGGACAACAAGGUAGGCCCAUGCUAUACUUGCCUUGGUUCACGUACUCCUGCUGGUCUUGCUGGUCCUGCUGAUCCCCAAAGAGCUCCGGACUCCCGAAAAACUCCUCACCGUCUGGGCUCGAUCAAUACAUCACAAUCAUCACGCAUACCAAGACAAACAUGCAGGAGAACAAUUUCUAAAGUUAGAACAGUACACCAGCAGUAAAUAAAUUAAAUAAAAGUUUUCCAAAAUCACCUACGUGCUGCUACGAUCACGUCAACGCGAAAUUCACGAAAAACGGAACUAAAAUGACCAAAUUACGACUUUUCGGCGAUUUCCUAUAGGCAAUUAAUUAAUUAAACCUAGCCCUGAAAAUAAAAAGUUGCAACUACACAUGCAAAUACAAAAAUUUUAGGAGACUCUUUAACAAGAUAUCAUAUGAAGGGGUAUCAAGUGUUUCUGGCCGUUGGAUCAAGAUUGAACGCGCUGGAUUAAAAGAUAAAUAAUAAUAAAAAAAAAUAAAAUAAAAAAAAGAGAGAGAGGAAGGGGACGGCGCACAGGCCGCUCCGGCCAGAAACACGGUGGCCACCAUUGACGGCCGGCCCGAGCUCGCCGGAGUUGAGCGGAGGAGGUGCUACGGUGCACGGUUUUCGAUUCCGAUUGAACUGGGAGAAAGAGGAGAGCGAUGCGAGUCCAUUCCACCCCAUAAACGCGGUCGAGGAGGCGGUUUUCGAGAAGGUUCACGGCGGCGCCAUAAACGUCCCCACCGAAGCUCGUGGAACUCGGACUCCGAGCCACGAUUGACCAAACCGAGCACACAGGGAGGAAGAGGGAGGCAAGGCGAACUCGCUAGAACACUUGGCGCGGCUGUGGAAGGUCCUACGCGGCACGCGCCAUGGCCGGCGGCCAUGGAGCUCGCCGGAGCUCCGCGGACAGCACUGAGGAGUGCGUCGUUUCGCGAGAGAAAUAGACGGGGAGGAAGCGGGAGAGGAGAGGAAGCUCACCACGGCGCUAAUUCAGAGCGAAAACGGCUUGGAACGGCGGCCUACGCGCGGUCGACGAAGAACUUCCCGGCGACGGUUCAAACGAGUGGGGCGCGGGCAAGGAGAAGAGAGAAUGGGGGAGGGGUAGUGCUCAGGUGCGCGAGGGGCUCUCCAACUUGAAGACCAAGACGCGGGGGAAGCUGGAGAACGUGGGAGCGGGGCUUCGGCCUGGGCGGUUGCUACUGAGAGAGAGGAUUCGGAAGCGACGGUUGGAGGAAGGAGGUGGUCCUGAUGGGUGGGCCCCACCCGUCAGCCGCGAGAGAGAAAAGCUUUUCCUUUUUAUUUUCCAAACAAAUUUUCCAAACUCUUUUCCAAAUGAAUUUUUGAAUUCAAAAUUCUUUUCAUCAAAACCACUCAUCACAUAAAAGAAAUGCACCAGCAUGUAUGCAACAAAAUAUUAGCCUAACUUAUAUUUAAUUUUAUUUUCUCCAAAUUUAUUUAUUUUUCCUAUAUUGAAAAUGCUCACAAAAUUAUUUAAUAAAGCCAAAUUCAUCUAUUUUUAAA
rnacentral:lncRNA from 1 species